AGAGAGAGACAUGCGCGCAUAUCAAUAAGCGGAGGAAAAGAAACUAACAAGGAUUCCCUUAGUAACGGCGAGUGAAGCGGGAAGAGCUCAAAUUUGAAAUCUUCAAGGGUUUACCUUUACGAAUUGUAGUUUAAAGAAGUGUUUUCUGUUGAGGUUUUGGUAAAAGUUCUUUGGAAUAGGACAUCAUAGAGGGUGAGAAUCCCGUAUUUGACCUUUACUUUCAACUUUGUGAUACACUUUCAAAGAGUCGGAUUGUUUGGGAAUGCAGUCCAAAAUGGGUGGUAAAUUUCAUCUAAAGCUAAAUAUUGGCGAGAGACCGAUAGCGAACAAGUACCGUGAGGGAAAGAUGAAAAGAACUUUGAAAAGAGAGUUAAACAGUACGUGAAAUUGUCAAAAGGGAAGCGUUUGACACCAGUGUUGUUUUUCUGAAAAUCAAUUAAAGAACUGUUUAUGCUAAGUUGUUUAGACUUUAUCAGCUAACUGUUUAGUUUUGAGCUUUUCUUUAAUGCACUUUUCAGUUAACAAGUCAACAUCAAUUUCUUUUGCUGUAAAAAAGCUUGAGGAAGGUGGCUUGAGAUUCGUCUUAAGUGUUUAUAGCCUCUUGCCUAUGCAGUCGGAGAGAUUGAGGUCUGCAGCGUAGAUCCUUCGGGGCUAAAUGCAUUUGUGCUAAGUUAUAGCAUUUUAUAGACAACUUGUUGACUAUGAUUUGUCUUGUAGCUUACUCGCUUAUGUUAUUUUACCUACGCUUAGGAUGUUGAGCGCAUGUCUCUCUCU
rnacentral:rRNA from 1 species